rnacentral:lncRNA from 1 species
GAGGAUGCCAAAUGAGCACUUUCUGUCUUAUCUUACUUUAUUCUCUCUUCCUCUUGCACACAGUGUGAAAUGAGUUCAUUAGGAGUCCAUUUCUCCUUUAGGCAGUUGUAACUAAUCUUAAACUGAUUAUAUUGUGCAGGGAGAGAGAUCAAAACUAAGUACACAAGCAGUUCCUCAUGUAAUUCCAACUUGAGUGACUUAAGUUUUGAAGCAAGAUGAGACAUUUCUAAAAUGUACUCCCN